GAAUUUUUUCACUUGAAAACCUAAUAGAAACCUAAUGGAAACUCGAUAAAGCUUCACAUCUCUUUAUUUUGUGCAGGGUUUGAUUUUUCAAACAACAUCAGGUUGAUUUCUCAAUUUGGUGCGGUUAUUAGGGUUCAUCAGGUUGAUUUCUCAAUUUGGUGCGGUUAUUAGGGUUUGAUUUUACAAACUUCAUCAGGCUGAUCCUUUUGACAAGUUCCUCAAUGUGAAAAUCCUUGAGCAAGGUUGACAGAAUCAAUUCAUUUGGAUUUGGUGUUUGAUGAGGAGGAAGAUGAAAUUGUUUUUAAAUUAUUGAGCAGUGGUCG